rnacentral:rRNA from 10 species
UUUGACCUCGGAUCAGGUAGGAAUACCCGCUGAACUUAA